UUAUUUAUUUUCAUAAACGAGAUAUUUCGUAAAUCAUUAAUUUUUUAAGAAACAAAUGAAGCCUUAAUAAAAGCAAAAGAAAUGGUAGAGAAGUGGAUGUUCCUAGCAAGAAAUGAAAUGGAAAAUUGAUUUAAGUUAAAUUCCUUUCAUAUUGCAAUUAUAGCUUCUUCCUUUUUUCACAUUGAAUAAAUGCUUAUCAUCAGUUAAUAGUAUUUUUACAUUACUAAUAAUACUUUGAUGGCAAUCUUUUCUAUAGAAAAAAAAAAAGAAUAGUUUGGUUUCAUGCCAUGAGUUGAAAAAAGAAAAAGGGCCCCAAUUUAUAAUUCAAGCCACGAAUUUCAUCUCAAUCGUGAACGUGAAAAAUGAAUUAUUAAUAUUAAUCUCGUUAGUGACAUUAAUAUGUGAUUGGUGUUUAAUUUAAUAUAUUUAGUCAUUACUAUAAAAGUACAAUAAUUUCUCCAACUAAGAUUGUGAUUAUUUAUUUAUAGAAUUGUAAAGGGGCCUUAAUUUAGAAUUCAAGCAACAAAUUUUAUCUCGAUUAUGAACUGUCUUUUCGGUAACUUCUAUCGAUGAUUAGUGAUUUUUCAUUAAUGUAAUUAUAAAAUAAUAGUGGGUAAUCUUUAGAAAGGCGUUGCAAUAUUUCGGCUGAUGUAAUAACAAGCGAUUGUAGUGAAUAAUACGAGCGGCAUAUUUUAACAAUUAUCUUCUUCCUUUGGGCUUAUGGAUUACCGCCACGCAAUGACAUCAUUGCAUCAGAUCAGAGGUUCGGUUAAAACUCCCGCGCACCAGCUUCCUGGGUGUCCGAUGUAACGCUAACGAGGGAGGAGAUCGGUUCCCGAGGACAAGGUGUUUUUCUCUCUCUCGCGGGAGGGCAAAGUCAUUUCGACGCACGAGGACAAGGUGUUUGCUUAAAUGCUUCCGAGACCAACGUGGGUCUUCUUGGAUAUACGUGCAGGGAGUUGGGUGUGAAUUAAAUUGACAAAAGACCCCGGUGAAGUGGCAACGUCGGAGUGUUGGAUUUCUAUGGCUGUCCGCAAGCGCAGGGUAGGCCUUUCUUGAAGUUCCCCUAGUUGAGUUAGAAACUGUUCGAAGGGUUAUCUUUAUGGGACCCUCGAUAAUCCUUGUGGGUAAUAGGAACUGAGUUGAAGGGAUGGUGCUUUUUGAAGAAGACAUCCGUGAUUGAUGGAUGUUGAAAGGAUAGGCGUGGAGGAUCAGUUAUUGUGGCGUCUAAUGUUUCAGAAAGAUCUGCAUUGUCAAAGGGAAAGCAGAAUCUAGUUUUGCAAGUGCUAAGGAGACAGCUGCGUUGCAUUCCAUGGUCAAUGCAGGCCCUCGUUCUAGGAGAAACGGGAAUAAUGUAGGUUCCUGUGUCACUUGCUUUUUUCGUUGACUAUGAAGUUGGAACUGUGUUACAUUGUAGUAUUCCCAAAGAGGAACCUCAGCAAGCAACUUUGAUGUUAGUGAAGUAAACACCUGUCUUAUGAUUAGAAUGUCACAGAAGCAUUCAAAUGCCACUUGUUCAUGUACGGUAAGGUUAGUACUGUUGAAUCAUUGGCAGUAUGACUAGAAUGAAUGGUUCAUAGUUUUCUUUAGAUUUUUCAGGUCUUUAUGCGCAUGCCCUGUAUUGUACAAUAUGUCCUUUUCAAGCGAAUAUUCCCUUUCGAUUGGCAAUUGGGCCGUUCCAUUAGUAGGCGAUGCUUUGAUCUGCCAAGUGCCUUUGGCAGUUCCAAUGGUCUGAAAAGUAAAGGGAAAUAUUUCAGCCGCUACAUUUUAGGUACAGUAUGUUGGCCCCUGGGGCCCGUCCACAUCAACUGGAACAUAUCUACCAGUGCAGACUGGGCAGUGACUCAGCAGAAACAUGGAUUCUGAGCACCAUUGACUAGCAUGGUCCCAGUCAUCCUGAGAAACAGAUUCCAGAAUAUUUUUAGUGAAAAAGAUCUUCUCACUCUUUUAAAUCUCUUUUUUGUGUAGCUCAAAAGAUGUAUUUCUUUUGGCAUUGUUGGGUGGAUAGAAGAUAAGGUACAUGAUUGUUGGUGACACUAGAAAUCAAAAAAAAAAAAAAAAAAAAAAAGACAAUGCUAAUCGAGUUGAAUAUUAGAAAAAAGUUUUGAUGUGAAGUCCUCAUGAUGUAAUUUUGGAUAAAUACUAAAUGCUGAUGCGUAAUUUGUCUGCUGAUUCUGCUCUUUGUUAGUGAUGAUAAAGGUCAAACAUGGGAGUUUAUCUUCUUUCACAGUGCAAUUGUAACAAAGCGAGCAAGUUUAAUGAUUAAACAGAUAAUGGAAAAUAACAAUCAUGGCUCCACUUUUUUUUUUUUUUUAACCUUCUAAUGUUUCGAUGGACUGUACGUGCAGCAUUUGAAGCUCUGUUCCUUCAUUGGGUAGACAUCUUGUCCUUUGGUUUUGUGCAACUCGAGGACAAUAUCCACCCACUACCAGAAUGUAGAAGAAAAGUCAUGCGGGAGAUCAACUUCUAGUAUCUGUCCAUACGAUCCACAUCAUGAGCACUGCAAAUUCUUUGGAGAUGAACUGCAUCAGUGUUUGCUGCUUGUGCAAUUGGUUGUUCAUUUUGCAGAUGGAAAAUAAUCUCUCUCUCUCUCUCUCACGCGCGUGCGCACUCUUGCUGGUGCAACUGUACUUGGCCUUUAUCUGGCAUAGAGGUAUUCCUGUUUGAAAUGCCACUCUUCAUGUCUCUCCUUAGUAAAGGGUAUAUCAGUGGCCCACCUUUUUUGUAAUUUUAAGGCCAAAAUGGCCUUCCUUUCCAUUUAUAGUCGAUAUGACCUAAAUUAUGACGAUUUGCUUUCAUGUCAAUUUGUCAUAUGCAUCAUUUCUAAGGGGUAUGGAUCAUGUUCUUUUUUUCCUCUCUACCUAUAUAGCUAAGCAAGCAUUUUGAUUUCUUAAUCAUAUCUAAUACAGGCUUCUCCUCCUCAUUACUUGUAAUAUAUGAGAAGAUACAAGGAAUUAGAAUAAAUAGUAUAAUCAACGCUUUACAGUAUAUGUAACUAAGGCAUUCCCCUGCGCCUUUGGCAAGGGUCUUCCUCUUUUGCUUUGCUUCUCUAAAGGAACUUGGGAACCUGAAAAGGAGUAUCAUGAGAAGGGCACUGCCUUCUGAAAUAUUCUUUGGCCAGGUGCCAGUAUUCUUAAGGGAUCAUAAGCAGAUUUUCUCCUUACAAAAGCUUCCCAGUGUGGGCCAAAGUGGGCCUUCCAGUCUUCCUGUCUAGUAUAGUGAGGCAAAUACUGCUUCACCCCUAGAUGGGCUGAUUCACAAAAGUCUAAUAUUCUUUUGUUCUGAUAUAGUAUGUGAUCCAAGCUGUCAGGUCCUGUGGAAGAAGGAACUGCAGAGGAAAGGAAGGCCAUCAAAUAGAAAAUAUCUUCCUCAGGAAUCACUACAGAAGUCCUAUUGUCCCACCUGCAAUGAAUUGACAAAAUUAUCAGUACAGAUUGGCAAUUUCUUGAAACUUGGAGAUUAAACUAAUGUUUCUGCACGCCAUUACUUUGAUUUGUUGACUGGGUAGAUGAGAAUGGGACCAUUGCUCGUGUCUUUUAGGAUAUUGCCAAAGACUUCUUCAGCAAAUCGAUGAACUUUGCUUCUGGGUAUGAGAAGAUUAAGCCAAGGAUGUGGAACUUCCCACAGACCUUUUGACCUGAGUUUCACCUCAGAUACGUGAACUCUGUCCAAGAAAUCUAUGUAUGAUACUUCCGAUAGGAAAAGCGUCGAGGAGAUAUAAUUCAACGGGGAUAAUAGCCUCUCAACCUCCUGAAAUGUUGAAGUACUUGGCCACCUCAAGGCAAAAGAGAGUUUGUCCAUCAGAUUUAAAGUGGCUCGCUUGAAGUGGGUCUUGUGGACUAAAGGAUGACCUCCAGUUAUUUAGAAGGCCAGUUCUGUUAAUUAUCACAAAUCCUUCAAUGUAGUCAAAUGUAUUCUCUGAAGAUAUCAAAUGCUCUUGAUCUCUGGUAAAUGUGUCGAAAUCUGAGUAGAGCAUUCGAAUCCAUUUCACCUGUUCAAAUCGUAAAAUUAUUAGAAUAAUUUGUAACUCCACUGCAUUAAAUCUUGCAAUUAUAUGUCUAAAGUAUGAGUAUGUCUGGAUUUAUCUGUGAUCCAAGGAUCUUGUUAUCUUAUGUUUACAUCUAAUCUUCUAUGGGGGCAUAUAGUGUAAAGAAGUAUGUAGCAUUAUGUAGGUACAGGUACAUGGUGUGCGUUUACCUUGUCAGGUGCUGGUUCCAGAGAUAUCCUUGCUUGAGUGAUGAUACCAAAUUGCCCGAGUCCUCCAAGGACGCUAUGGAAGAGGUCUUCAUUCUGAUUUGCUGAGCACUUUACGACCUCCCCUUUUCCUGCAUUUUGUUUACAAAAUGACCAAAAUUAUCAUGUUUGAACUUAGGAGUGCUUCAAUAAGAAAGAGAAUUUGGCGAUUGUUAUGGAGAACCUGGCGGGUCAAGAUAAACUAGGACCUAGGGUAUAUAAAUAGUGCAGAUGGGACAAAAAGCAUUUUCUUUUGUUUGGGGGGGGGGCAGAUGGUGGGUGUCGGGCAACAAAGGCUGAGAUGAUUGCUUGUGUCAUUUCUCCAUCUUUGUGUUCAUGCUGGUAUAUUGACCCUCAUCUUAUAUAUCAUGAUGAAGUAUGUUGGCCAUUGGUUUCUUUAACUUUUGCAUCAGUAGUACCUGUAAUAACCUCCAGCUGAUGGACAUUACUAAUCUGGGGUCCAUGUCGAAAUGCUUGCCCACUGAUCCCGGCAUUUGACAGAGUACCGCCAACUGUUAGAUGUAAGUAAUCUGUCCAUGAUUUUGGUGCUAAACCAUAUCUCAUGCUCUCCCGCAGUAUGUUUAUCCACAAAUCUCCAGCAGAAACGUCAACAUACGGGAAUUUCCCCCCAUGGACCUGCAUUAUUGGGCUCUGAAGACAUUUCAUAUUGACCACAACACCUCGGUAGGCUUGUGCCUGACCCUGAAGUGAAUGACCAUGGCCUCUGGCUGCAACGGUGAGUUCUGAGUGAGGACCCAUUUGCCAGAUAUGCUUUAUGGUGAUUGCAAUAUCCGUAACCGUCUUGGGGUGCAAUACUGCAAGAGGCAGCAACUGGUAUUGAUUGCCGAAAUCUUUGGCCACGUGUUGGACUUCAUCAAAAUUGAGAUGCCCAUCAAGGGAUAGCGUUAGAAGUGAAGAGGGGAUAUUCGAAAAGCAAAGGCUCAGUUUAGCAGCUAUACAACUUAGUAACAAGAGCAAGAAGCCUCUUAUUACAAGAAAGUUCUUUGGCUGGGGGGAACUUGCUGCCGGCUUUCUCAUUUUUCUCACUGGACGAGUCAGAAGAAGUGGAAGAUGGAAGACUUUUACUUCCAUAUAUAUUGUUUGUCGUGAGAAAGAACAAAGGAGAGGUUUAGCAGAACCGAGGCAGAAAAGAAUGGUCGAAAGCUGGAAUUUAAAGGGAGGAGAUUUGUUGGGAGAGUCAACUUAUCUACGUUGGCAAGAAUACGUAUGAAGACUGCCCACUUGAGUGGAAGUCUUAGGAGCUUGCUUUUAGCUCUUCCUUUUUUGGUGUCGUUCAUUUGAGGGAGAAGCCAUCACGAAUAAGCCAAGUUGAGGAGGAAAAAGUCACAAGAAAGGAAGAUCUUACAAAUCUUUGCCCUUUUUCAAACAGUUGUAACCACAUCAUCACAUUUUGCAUCAGAGGGUUUUAUCUCCAAUGGUUUCUUGUUAAUCAUAUUAAGGAUACCUUUGCCAUUUAUAGCAAAAAAUAAGCUUGGGAUGGAAUCAGCAUUCCUCUGUUCCAGUUGACAGGGACUGCCGGGGCCUUCCAUGAUUCUUUUUGCAAGCUUGAGGGAUGACCAGUGUUGGAGGUCCAUGGGUCCGACUGGCACGUGAAUUUUCAAAUGGCUGUGGGCGUUGUGGGGCGGAGGGAUAUGAUUGGUUGCGUCUGGGACCUGAACGGGGCCCAAUGCAAUGGUUUGGAAGAGGAAGGAGAAAGAGGGUGAUAAACGGCUUGAGCGGAUUUUCGUGAAUCAUGAUGGCAGUAUGCAGUUCAGCUCCUUUGAAAUAUUCUCUCUUGCUCGUUAAGUUUUGUCUGAUUGCAGUCUUCACAUGUCCAUGUCAGCGGGGGGGCUCAGUAUUGACCAUUAAAUCACUCGUAUGCAAGUACGGAUUGAACUGGUAUGUUUGUGUCUGUUUCUUUCUCUCUCAAUUGCUGCACCGAUGGGUUUCUCUCAUGUUCUUCCGACAGCGAUACCUCCACUUCGACAAAAAACUUGGAUGGCUUGUCUCUGUUCGCGACGAUUCAUUUCGUUCGGUAGCGGGUUAAUGCAUCCAAAUGACGUUUCAUCUUCACUAGGAUCAUGGAAUUUUAGCCGUUAAUCAUUGUGGACUGUCGAAAUCUGGACUCACCUUUCAUUAGAUUAUUUGAAUAAUCUAUAGAGUGGAUAUGGCGUUCUCAUAUUCUUA